UACGUAGGGGGCAAGCGUUAUCCGGAUUUACUGGGUGUAAAGGGAGCGUAGACGGCAAGGCAAGUCUGAUGUGAAAACCCAGGGCUUAACCCUGGGACUGCAUUGGAAACUGUCUGGCUCGAGUGCCGGAGAGGUAAGCGGAAUUCCUAGUGUAGCGGUGAAAUGCGUAGAUAUUAGGAAGAACACCAGUGGCGAAGGCGGCUUACUGGACGGUAACUGACGUUGAGGCUCGAAAACGUGGGGAGCAAACAGG
rnacentral:rRNA from 1 species